rnacentral:rRNA from 1 species
CCUACGGGUGGCUGCAGUGAGGAAUAUUGGUCAAUGGCCGGAAGGCUGAACCAGCCAUGCCGCGUGAAGGUCAGUGCCCUUUGGGCGUUUAACUUCUUUUGUGCGGGAGCAAUAAUGGUCACGUGUGGCUAGACGAGAGUACCGUGCGAAUAAGCAUCGGCUAACCCCGUGCCAGCCGCCGCGGUAAUUCGGGGGGAGCCAGCGUUUUCCGGGUUUAUUGGGUGUAAAGGGUUCGUAUGGCGGGAUGUAAGUUAGCGGGGAAAUGCCCCCGGUCAACGGGGUGAAGUGCCUUUUAUACUGGCUGGCUGGAGUGCGGAUGACGUGGGAGGAAUGUGUGGUGUAGCGGUGAAAUGCAUAGAUAUCGCACAGAACACCGAUUGCGAAGGCAGCUCACGAAUCCGCGAUUGACGCUGAGGCACGAAAGCGUGGGUAUCGAACAGGAUUAGAUACCCGAGUAGUC